UCCGCCUCCGCCUCCGCCGCCGCCGCCGCCGCCGCCACUGCCUCCGGUGCCGGGGUCCCGCAGCCGCGGCUGAGUCCUUCUCCUCAGGACCGAGCCGAGUGAAAUGACAACCAGCUGGAAAGACCGAGAGACACUUCCGGUUCUACGAGGGAGGGGCAGGGUGUUGCGGAGGCCCCGCCCAGCAUUCGGAAGACCAAUCCGACGCUACGAUUCCGAUUGGGCCACGCCUCCCAUGCUCAGAGCCCCUCCCAGGAAGGUCUCCGGUCAUCUCAGAGCCGCCCCUUCCGCCUGCGCCUCGCCCAGCCAGGCCGGCGCCGGAGCUGGGUCAGCGCAGUCAGUGAAAGCAGUGUACCGCCAUCUUUUUUGUGGGCAAAGAGUCCUUCGAGGUUUAUGUUUCCAAAGUAGGCUUCUCAGGAAGCCCAUAGAGAGACGUUCGAAAGAGAAUGGGCUCCUUGCACACUGAAAUACUGAGCCGAAUGGUUGGGGGUCGAAGUGGCAACCCAUGAAACCGAGAAUAAACGAGAGGCCUGCCCUGAGUAAAGUUGCAAAAGUUUCAGUCCAUGGACACUUGCUGCUGGAAGACAUGGGAGAGAGAGUCAAGCUACAGCAGUAAGUUUCCAGGGCCUGACCACUGGGACCACUGUGAGGAGAGGAAGCACCUCCCAGAUCCAAUGAAAUGUCAGCAUGCUCCUGGUCCACACUGCUGAUCAGUGCAGUAGCAAUCUCCUACAGCUAUUUGUGUGGUAUUUACCUUGCAUCCCAUGAGGAGUGAUGUGGUCAUAGCUGUCAGUGUACAGGACGAUGGGCUUCACAAAUUCUAUGCAAACCCAAGGCCACUUUAUAGAAAGGACUUGAUCUUCUUCAGCUGCUGGUACCCAGUGAGGGCUAUCCAUUCCUAGUGGAGACAGUGGGAUCUUGUAAAUAUUUGUCAAUGAAAUAAAAAAUGAGUAG
rnacentral:lncRNA from 1 species